UGUGCAUAGUUUAAUUUUAUUGGACAUCUUCUGAUUUCUCUUUUCUGUUUACCUUUUUCUGUUUCUGUUUACCUUUUUCUGUUUCUCUUGAAUCUUGUAUUUGAGAAUCAAAUUUUCUAUUCAGCUCUGGUCUUUUCAUCAGAAAUGUUUGGAAUUCCUCUAUUUCAUUGAAUACUCAUUUUUUCCUAUGUAGGAUUAUGCUCAGUUUUGCUAGAAGCUACAAGGCUGGGAGGGAUGUGAAGAGACAAGGGUGAAAAACGGAUGGAUCUCAAAGAAGAGCCUCCACUCUUUCUUCUCCUCUUGUGGCACCAACGAGCAAGGUGCCAAGGGCAGGGCAGGCGAGAUGCCUUGGAUGCUACCUGGCCCCAGUUACUGCCUGAGGACGCGCGAACGCUGAGGGCCAGCGGAGCCAAGCGCUGAGGAGGCGGCAGCGGCGAGGAGGGAGCGAGUGCACCGCCCGACAACCCCAGGUCCCCAGCCCUCAGCCAGAGUCUGAGUGACAGAAGCCCCGCUGCCGGACCGAGAGGAGGCGGGACCGCCGCCUCAGCCACUUCUCGCGCCCGCCUGCCUAAAAGCAUCCAGGGCGAGAAGGAGUGAGCAAGAGAGGGAGAACGAGAGCGCCGCCUGCCCCAGCGACCCCCUUCACUGCCGCUGCUUUCUCUCCCUUUGCUACCCCGCUCUCAACCCUUCUCCCAGCUUGCAGGCCAGUCGGUGAGCGGGAAGGUGCUUGUGCCCUGGCACGGGGCGGCAGCUGCUCCCGCAUGGCGGGGCCAGGGGGCAGAGGAGCAGCAUCUCGGAGGAUGAAGGGCUCGCUGGGCGUUAGGCGGGACAAGCUACCCGGGGCCCCCAAGCCGCCCCAACCCCGGCACGAAAAAGAAGAGACAAGAUAUCAGAAGAAAUCUUUCCUUUGUUUACAACAGUUAGCAGCAUGAUUUGAGCAGAGGGACACACAGUGAGACAACAUAUGCCAGCACAACCCGCUUUACAGCUUCCCUGCUGGGAACAGACCAUGGAACGACAUCAGGUGUUCCCUUUAAAAAGAAUUUUCAUACUGUCUUUCAUUGCUAAAUCACUGACAUAAAAUAAACUAAAAUAAAAAAAUAAAAGUGCUGAAUCU
rnacentral:lncRNA from 1 species